rnacentral:rRNA from 1 species
GAUGAACGCUGGCGGCGUGCUUAAUACAUGCAAGUCGAGCGAGGGCUUCGGCCUCUAGCGGCGAACGGGUGAGUAACACGUAGGUAAUCUGCCCUUUAGACUGGGAUACCCUGAGGAAACUUAGGCUAAUACCGGAUAGGAACUUCGAAGGCAUCUUUGAAGUUUGAAAGUUCCGUUUGGAACACUAAAGGAUGAACCUGCGGCGCAUUAGCUAGUUGGUGAGAUAACAGCCCACCAAGGCGAAGAUGCGUAGCCGACCUGAGAGGGUGAUCGGCCACAAUGGAACUGAGACACGGUCCAU